GAUGAACGCUGGCGGCGUGCCUAAUACAUGCAAGUCGAGCGAAUGGAUUAAGAGCUUGCUCUUAUGAAGUUAGCGGCGGGCGGGUGAGUAACACGUGGGUAACCUGCCCAUAAGACUGGGAUAACUCCGGGAAACCGGGGCUAAUACCGGAUAACAUUUUGAACCGCAUGGUUCGAAAUUGAAAGGCGGCUUCGGCUGUCACUUAUGGAUGGACCCGCGUCGCAUUAGCUAGUUGGUGAGGUAACGGCUCACCAAGGCAACGAUGCGUAGCCGACCUGGGAGGGUGAGCGGCCACACUGGGACUGAGACACGGCCCAGACUCCUACGGGAGGCAGCAGUAGGGAAUCUUCCGCAAUGGACGAAAGUCUGACGGAGCAACGCCGCGUGAGUGAUGAAGGCUUUCGGGUCGUAAAACUCUGUUGUUAGGGAAGAACAAGUGCUAGUUGAAUAAGCUGACACCUUGACGGUACCUAACCAGAAAGCCACGGCUAACUUCGUGCCAGCCGCCGCGGUAA
rnacentral:rRNA from 1 species